AGCGAGCGCGGGGUUCGGCCGCUCCAAGUUCGGCGGUGCCGUGGCUCGGAGGCGCUUUGGAGGCGUUGAUGGCAUCGCUGGGUUCGGUUUGCAGCGGGUGUCCGCUAAGGGAUAUGGUGUUCUUCCUGAGCGGCACGGUUCUCGGUGCCGGUAGAGAUGAUAAAGGGUACUCACAAAAUAUGUCUCCCUUAGUGUCCCACAGAAACAUUCUGGGUGCAAUCUGAAUUAAGGUAUGUGUUUUCAAAUAAGUAAUCAGUUUAGAUAUUUGCCUGUGUACCUUUUCCUGUAAUUCAGAGCUUGUGUUCUGUGGGUUUUAUGAUAAACCUGUAAAACAUGUAAGAAUGGUUUUGCAAGUCUGAAUCGUUGAAGGCAGCAAUAAGUGGAUUUAAAGCCUGUUCUUGAGCAGACAAAGGGGAAAAGUGUGACUCUGAUGCUGAACUUGUCAUUUUUCAUUUGACUUGCCUUUAAUUAUUGAAGAAGAGAGAGAACUAGGAAAAGAAAUAGAAUUGAUUAUUGAGCACUCCUAAAAAGCUCACCAUGAUUCUGUGUAGAGCCAAAGUGAAGGAUGAUGGAACAGAGCUCUGUGCAUUAGAAGGAAAUAAACCUGAUGUCCACACAGAGUCUUACUAAUUUCUGUUUUUAAAAUGCAAAAUAAGUUUAGGAAGUGUUGGAAGUUAGUAUUUUGGGAAAGAAAUGGCAGUUCCACAAAACAUUCCAUUCCAUUUAAGAGAGGCCCUUGGACUGAUUCAUGUUGUAACUGCUGUCACUGCAAUCAGUUGGUGGUUCAGCCUUGAAACGUGCACUUGGCCUUCUAUAAAGCACUGUUUUGUUUGCCUUUCAGUGCUAUGAGUCUUGAUAAAUUGGAGAAGUGCCCAAGAGAAAUUCAUCAUCCUGAGAUACAAAAGGUAGGAAGUGACUUUUUCUGGUUUGGUUCUUUUUCUUUAUUGUUUUCUGGAAAUAGAAGUAAUUAAGUAUAGAUACUACUGGUUUGUUUCUUCCAGUAGCUGAUAAUACUAAUACCAAUAAUAAUAAUAAUAAUAAUAGUAAAGUAAUACUACUUCAACUGUCUUUAUUUAUCCAUUGAACUGGCCAUUUUAAAUCUAAACUUCUAAACACAAAUCAAACCAUCAUCCUUGUAGAAUCUUUAAUAGGAGUGGGCUAAAGAUCCUGGUUUUGUUGACAGGAUUUAUUGGUUCAUGAACAGCAAGAGGUAAGUACAAGCCUAACUACCCUCUAGCUCACAGACCUGCCCGGUGAAUAGAGCUUUGUUUUUUUGAUGGGCUUGUGAUGACUUUGAGAUCAAUUGCUCAUUCAUUACAGUAAAAAAAAAAAAAUUGUUUUGAACAUGACAGCAAAAAUAACUUUAAGCACAACUUAAUAAUAAUAAUAGAUCACCAAUUUUAGUUAAUAAUUUUAUGCUAUACUCUUGGGUGAGGGAAGACUCGGACACUCAAUAUGAGAUCAGCAAGCUAUGUUUAUUGCAGAGAGUAUCAGACACUUAUACAGCACAUAAUAAGCUUAUGAAUAUUCUGUAAGCCAAGCGAUCUAUUGGUUAAACUAUACCAUCAACUCUUCCUCAUUCCUUUGGGCCUACAUUCCCUAUUUCCCACGUCUCUCUGUCUACUUGUUAUCCUACCCAGCUAGGCCCAGGCACACGCUAUCUUGCAGGUGCAAAACUCAAAAAUACCUGUGUUCGGUACUUUCCCAGCUCCUGGUCGGCUAACGAGCGAAUGUCUGCGUGACCUCUGUCAUGGAGCCAUUUCUCCACACUAUACUAUCAAAGUUUAAAGGUAAAUUAUUAUAUAUUAGGAGAUGGUGUAAAGUGUAUGUUGUAAUGUGUAGGAUAUAUACAAAGAUACGUACUUGAAAGUCCGUAGAGGAAACAAAUUUUUACGCCUUCUGUUUGACUGUUUGUCAUAUAUUUGGUUUUAUUUCCCAGGGAUCAGUGAAUUUUAACUCUGGAGUCCUCUAUGCUAAGGAUGCUCAGCUUAGAGAUGAUGAAAUGUUCAGUAAUGGUGAGUUUUUCACCUUCUCCUUCAUUGUUUUGCUCAUCUGAAUAAAAAAAAAAAAAAAAAGGCAAGAUUAAAGAAAAAGCAAUAGUUUUAUUAUUUUUACCCUGUUAUGUCUGUUUCCUCAGUAUUUGCUGCAGCUCUGCUUACCCAAGGUUUGGGUAAAACAAGCUUUGGGUUCCCUCUGUCUCACUGGGAGUUGCCCAAUUCAGUUGCAUCUGGUGAAAUUCACCCUGAGACCUUACAGAACCAGCUCCAACUACGUGAGAGCCAUUUGCAGUUCUCUCCAGACACCUGGAGAAUGGGCGACAUUUCUGAGAAUCCGGCGAGCGUGCUUCUAUCAAAACUCAGUCUGUGAAAUUCCUGGGGAAAACCCUUCUGUGUCCUGAAGGGUUCAAACUCUGGUGAGGAUCCAGUUAUCAGGUGCUCACCUGGAUGGUUCCAGCUCUUAAAGUGAACACUUGUACUCUUGCCCUGUAGUUUACAUCUAUUGUAUUUUUGUUAUUUUGCAGGAUUUUUUGUCUUUGCAAAAUAUUGUGCAUUUCACUCUUUGGAACCUCUCAGAUGGUUCUUUGGUGCAGCACCACCCCAGGGGACACUUGCCUGCUGUCCUGAAGGGGUUGGUGGCUAGAAUUGUGAAUCCUGGAGAGUUUAUAAGUCUUCUGUCCCCAGGGAGGUGUCGUGCUUUGUUUACUUUUGUUCUGUUGGUUAGGCGCUGCUUCUCGUUGCAAGUACGAAUUUCAAACUGCCCUGUUCUUAUUUUAACUGUUUUCCUGGUUCUCUCCCUACGGCAGGGAAAGACUCUCGUAUCCUUGUCAUCGGGCUCGGUGCUGUCCAAGAAGAUACAGAGACUAAAAAAAUCAUAAGAAGCAAAAUAUGACUGCAGGGAAAAGAAGCUGGAGAGAACAGAAGACUCAUCACGGCGGGACAGCGUGAGGACUGAAAGUGUAAGAAGAUGUGGAGGGAAACAGAGAAUCUGACAGGAGCAUCGGAGGGACGAGUGCAGGAAUUUUGCUUUUUGCUUGGAUGUAAACUCAGGAGUUGAGAGGAAUUUGGGAGUGAGAAGGGACAUCUCAGAAGGAGAAGAAGAAAAAGAGGUUGUUGUUGUUGUUACAGUCCUGGCAAAAUCUUUUGUUCUAGCUAAUAAAAGAAGUUAGUUUAAAAAACAAAAAGGAAAAAAUGUAGUGUUUUUUUUUUCCUUCACUAUGAUAUUCAUUGGUGGUAUAUGGUGUGUUGUUUCAUUUCUUGGUAUUAUUAACUCUGUGUAAAUUGUUUUUUGAGUGAAGCUGACUUUCUGGAUGGGUUGGUUUGUAUUUGAGGCAGGAUUAAUUUCAGUAGGGUUCUUUCAUAGAUUUCUGAUGGGUAUUACUGGGAUUUUGGUUUUGUUUACUGUAUGUAUGAACCUAGAGCUUUGGUAGGGCCAGCUGGGCUGCUGGAGUUUUGGGUGUGAAUUUAUUAGAUGGCUUUUGUUAGAUGCAGUUUUUAAUUUUUGAAAUGUUUUUCAAUGUAGUGGUUUUAAGGUGGUUUUUAAGAAUUCAUUGUAUUGCUUUAUCUUGUUUGUAGUUGGUGUAUGAUAAGGGAUGUGGUGUGAGUUCUUGAACAUUAUGGUUUUGGUGUUCCUAAGUUCUGAUUUCUUUGUGGUUCAAUAGCUUUUUUUAUUUUUAUUUUUUGGGACAGGGGCAUUUAUAUGGUGGGUUUUUAUAGGCAAUAUGUUUUUUAAUUUAGGUAGUGAUAUUUUUUAAUAUUUUAAUAGUUUAGGUUUUUUAUUUUCAUGGUUUUAAUUAUUUUUUUUAAUUUUUUGAAAUAACUUUUAUAGAUUACAUGUUAUUAUUUGUGCAUUAACAUAAAGGUAGAGCUUUGGGGACUUUUUUUAGUAAUGUUUAGGGUCAGUUGUGCAGUUUUGAGUCUAGUGCGUUGGUUUGAUUUAAUUUUUAAUGGGUGUUUGUUUUUAUUAGCAGUUGUGUCAUUUUCAAGGUGUGUUUGAGUUUUUUGGGGUUUUUGAGAUACUGGUUUAGGAGGAAGUUUAUGAUGAGCAUGUGCGGAGGUUUUGGGCUACUUUAUAGUGGGAUUUAAAAUUUAUUUACAGUUAGGUUUAUUUGAGUUUUUAUUAGGGUUCAGUGACGUUGUGGGAUAUUUGUUCCGUUAGUAACAGAAAUAGGUUUUGUUUUGCUGUGCUGCGAUGGGAUGGGCGUGUGCUGCGUGCCGGUGCUGACAAAGGUACAGUAUUGUUGUGGCUCUGGUGCGUCGGGUUAAUGAACUGACAUGGUUUAAUGUAGAGAUGAAAAUAGAAAUAAAUAUACAUUUAAAAAUAAAUAUAACAUUAGAGUGGUAAACAUAAAUAUAGAUAACAGAUACAUACAUAAAACUAUAAUAUAUGGUAUAUAAUUGUAACAUGUUAUCAUAUAGAUAAAUGAUAGUCUAUUUUAUAUAUAUAUACACAAAGAUAUAUAAAUAUAGAUUGUAAAUAUAAAAAUAUUUAAAUAGAGUUAAAGUAAAUUGGGCAGUUUUAUUAGGGUAUAGGCUGGGG